rnacentral:rRNA from 1 species
AUGUCUGCACCACCACCCACCCCGCCGCUGCCCACCUUGCCGCUGUCCACCACCGCCGCCCUCUCCACCGCGCCGCUGGCGUUUCCCGCCGCCGCGGUCGACAACUCCACCGUGCCGCUGGUACUUCCCGCCAUCGCGGUCAACAACUCCACCGCGCCGCUCGGCUCCUCCGCGGGGGCCUCCACCGGCCAGUCGCUGCCCGUCACCGCGCCACCUGCCGUCGUCUACUCCCCGGUAGAGAUCACCGGGGUCCUUAAUGACCUCGUCACCGCCGUCCAGGCAGGGGCGGAGCCCAUUGGGCCGACCCGUAUGCACAGGAAUACGGGUGAAAAAAAUCGCUAG